AGUAAGGUCAGCUAAACUAAGCUAUCGGGCCCAUACCCCGAAAAUNUCGGCUCACACCCCUCCCGUACUA
rnacentral:tRNA from 1 species